GCUUCUACUCGUUUUGCAGGAACGUGGUUGGGACUUCUCUUCUUCCUAAGAACACAGCAACGCGAACCCCAAUCCCCAACGCGUAGCCGCCAGCUCCAGCUUGCCGACGGUGGCGGCGGGCCAGAUCCGGUGCCUAGCUGGACGAUUGCGCCCGGUGGAGUUCCAGAUCCAUCCACGACCGUCUUCUCGCCGGCAUUCUGGCUGCCCCGGCGGACCUCCUCUGUCCGAAGCUGAGACCUUGUGUGGGCAAGUUCUCCAAGAAGUCAGAUAUUUGGAUUUUGGAGUGAAAUGCAAUUUCUGCUCUGCAUAUGAUGGAUAGAUCAAAGCUCGUCGACUAGUACUACAUUCGUCCUUCGCUGUUUUGUUGCUGCAUCUCGAACUGAAAAUGGAGAGAAGUAGUGGGACGUCGCCUUUAGGAGAGCCCACCGUUCCAGUAAUCCCAAACUGUGCACCAACACUAUCAGUUGUGGAAUCGGCCAAUAGUGUCCAAAAUCAAGAUUUGAGUGAUGCUACCUCAUUUGCAGAAAUAAAUUCCCCAAUGCUUCUCAUUGAUGAUGCGAGUACACCAAAAAAGAAACAGGCCUUCUCUCAAGAGGGUUCUUUGUAUAAACCCCAAUGUGAUGAGGAAUUGAAGCCAAAAGUGGGGAUGCUAUUUGAUGACAUUGGCUCAGUAAUGGAAUUUUACAAGACAUAUGCACACCAUGUCGGAUUUGGUGUACGUCUUGGGCAGCAAAAGAUCGUAGAUAAUGUGCUUCUGUGGAAGCGCUUCUUGUGUGCAAAAGAAGGCUUUCGGCCCGAGAAAGGCCCAGGUGCUUGCUGCCAGAGAUGAUUGUGAUGUUCAGGACACGAAAAAUCAUGAGGAGAUUAAAAUCAUGUUUGUGAGUGAUCAAUACAAAAAGAUUAGAUAAGUGUCUUAUGACACAGUAUCCAUGACUGCUAAAUGUUCUUGCAAGCUUUUUGAGUCCAAUGGAAUCGUGUGCCGCCAUAUUAUCCGAGUGUUGAGGGGUGCGAAAAUAAAUGAAUUGCCAAGAAUUUAUGUUCUUAAGCGGUGGGAGAGAAAUUGCAAAAGGGACAUUAUCUUCGAUGGGGAAGGGAACAUGCUUGAAGAGAAUUUAAUUGACCCGGUUGACAUGGCUAUGAAAAGGAAGAUAGCUCUCAUUAGGAACAAGCUAGAAGAUCUCAUUCAGAAGUCUAAAGGUUCAAUGGAAGGAAUUGAAUUCCUGCACACUAGUUUGUGCAAUGCUGAGAUGGCUUUAGCCCAUCUCGUACCAGCUGUAGCAUGCAACACACGCGAAAAUGAGGAGUCAUUUAUCGGGAGCAUCAUUCCAAAGCACGUUACCAUCCACACACCUGCUGAUAUCAAUGCAAGGGGCACUUGCUCUAGAAUAAAGGGACACAGGGAUGCUGUGAGGAGUGGGUCGAGUGAGAAAAAAAGAAGGCCCGGAAUCCAUCAAAAAGUCGCACGCAAAUGUAGCAUUUGUAAGGAAGUGGCGUUCCAUGAUGCAAGGACAUGCUCUAAGAAACAAAUGACACAACAAUAGAGGUCUGACUUCUCCCAGCACAAGAUUGAUAAGCAAGAGGCACUAGUACUGGAGGCAAAAGGCAGUAGCUUUUCUGUUGUGUACCAAACAGAGCAAACUUGAUGCAAAUUCUGACGGCAAGCUUGUUCAGCAGACAGCGGUGCUUACUUUAGUCCUGCAUACUUUGUGUUGUCUGUGAUGUACCAAAAAUGAUCCUCUCAUGUUAUGUAACACUUUAUAUGUAUUUGUGUCGUCUCUAUUCUGUUCUGUUCUAUCUGGGAUCGUGCAAUUUAAAAUGUAUGUGUAGUUAUGGAUUAAUUUUCUCAUGUCUCAGAAAUUUGUGAUGUUCUCAUACAUUUUAGUGACGAACAUGUUUGGAGUUCUUGCAUGAUUCUGAAAGUAGCAGAAACUACUAGUGAAAUCAAAUAUAUAUCAAAUUUCGUACAGUA